UGCUCACAGAGGGGCAGCUGGAUGGCCUGCCAGGGCGAGCAACUGUGGUAUAAUUCCAGACAGCUGCUUCUGUCAGGGGACGGCUUAUCCGGCCAGGUUGAGCCCUCUAUGAGAGCUUUGGAGCUGUUGGAAGGAGGGGUGAGACUUGGAGGACCAGGAGACACCUCACAUUCUGCAGCUCCUUAGAGGAAAACUCAGGGCCCAGCCAUUUGGGACUCAAUGAGCCAUAGCAGGAUUUCCUGUGAGGAACAACCCACAAUCUUACCAGGCUGCCUCAGUCAUUUAAAAAAUGUUCCAAAAAAUUACACAGACUGGAUUUUCUUUUUUUUUUUCCCUAGAAACAAACUUACAGAGCAGAAAAUCUAGACCAUAUAGAAACCAAGAAAAAGCAACCUGACAUCCUCUAAAUGAGCUGACCCCACUCUUAGGUUACUUUACAACUCAGCCUUGAGUUUGUGCAGAUGGCUGCGCUUACAGCUGGAUACAAUAACUGUACUAUUAUGUAUUUGUGUAAAAUUUUAGGAUUUUCAUUUUUCACCUCAUUUGAGUAUCCCCAGAAUCCUUAAAGUAGAUGAGGCCCUUACAUCACCCAUUUUACAGACCAGAUAAAUUACAUCAUCACAACUCAUCACGAACUAACGGUUUUUCAUUUCAAAGGAGAUUUGUAUCCUGCAUUAUCCCAUUGAUUCUCCUAAAUAGUAACAAAAGCAACAACGGAAACAUCUCCAUUUAGAGAAGAGGAAAUUAAGGCUACCAUGAUUCCUUCUCAAGAACUGAAUUCUGGGGCAGCCCUCGAGAUCUUAAGUUACACAAUGCCAGCUUUUCCCACAGGAGUUACCAUCCCCUGGGGGCCAGCUUGAGGCAGGGUCACAAGGCUCACCUGAAUCUGUGCUGGGGAGAACCAAGAUGUCAACUCUGCCAUGGACUUGGAACAGGCCAGAUCCUGCAGCCUUCAGACCAGGGACCUGCCAGGACACCUCCCCCUUCCCCAGGCCCAAGCUGAUGUGAGACCUCCCUCCAGACACUGUGAUGGGGCCAGCUGGCUCUGGCAUUUGCCCAGCUGCCUCUGCCAAAUCGUCACAUUCCAUAAUACGAAUUGUCUUUCUAGCGUUCUAUUCCAGGUCCCUUCCUCUUCUCCCCCCAUUCCUAAACUGGCUUCUCCAACACUGAGGAUCCACUCAGGCAGAAAGAGUUUCCCUUCUAAAGACUUCAGCAGAGGUCCUAGAGUUCUGAGGCAUUUCCUCUCCCCUAUCCCCGGGAGGCUGGUGGAGGUGCUGGGGAGAGCUACGGUGGCCACCGAUGUCUGCCAUAUUGCCUUGGAGCCUAAAAUCCUUGGUCAAUUUACUUUUAAAAUUUAUACAACAGCAUUUUGCAAAGUGCGUUCCGAUUUAUACUGUCAUUAUAAUCUGACACUAGCCUAAUCUCAGGAGCUAGGAAUGUGAGAUGUCACAGCAUCAGUGUCUAUUUUGCAGAUGAAGAAACGGAGGCACAGCAUAGCUAAGUGGCUCAUCCAAGCCACACAGAGAAACCCCCGACUUCUAAUUGAAUUUACCUUCAUGGGCCCAUACACUGAUUUCAAGACUUAAGAUUUAAAGUAGAUAGGGUAUUUGCAUGUGUCCCAGAAUAGUAUCAGAGGCAGGCGCCAAACAAAAAUGCCUGGGUCAAGGGUUGUUAGGUCCCCUGAACUGCUGUUGUGACCUGCCCAUCCCAUGUUAUGGGACAAGACCCUCAACUAUAAAGUCUUUACUUCCCACCUCCCUGAGCUGUCCUGCAGCUGAAGGAAACCUAGGGAAAGUGACCAGGAGACCCCAGGACCUUUGUCCCAGCAGACCGAGGAAUCUAUUAAAGUCUGAGGCAGGCAGGAGGGAAAUAACAAAAAGGAAGUCAAAGAACAAGGUGCAGAGAGAGGAGAUUACUCCAAAUGAAGGGGUUUUUCCUCACUGAUAAGGUGCGAGGCGGGAACAGCAAAGUGACGCAAGGGCUGGGCCGCUUCUGCAUGUGGGUGUCAGGGAGGAGAUGGUUAAGGAGUUUUGACAUAACACAGUAAGUGUUUUAAAAAAAAAAAACUCAGCACAUACACAUAACCAGCUACAAGUUUCAGAAGUGAGGAAAACCAUGGUGACUAGCUUAAGGGAACUUAGCCGCCAACGCAGCAGAAAGCACCACCUGCUCUGACUAACAGGUUCCAGCUCCUAAAAUGUCACUUGCUUUUCCACAUUGACUUUUGCUUUUCCCUGGCUGCCAGAAACCAUUUUGGUGGCCAAAUGAAGCCAUGCAUUAGAGAGCUGAGAUGCUUCAGAGUUAGAGGUGGCAAACAAACAGGGCUUUCAUGAUCUGUAAGACCGAAGCAAGAAGUGCCGUCCCCAGAACUGGCCAUAAGGUAGUCAGAAAGGAGAGCCUCCCAGGGUGAGGUGCCCCGGGGAAGGAAGUGAGGGGAGUUGGCUGUCCCUCCCCUGGAACUAUCUGAAAGGGCAGGAAGAGCCCCAUCUCCUUGGGUGGCACUGUCCUUUCAGGAAAAAAGGGAGGACUAGAUGGCUUCUGAAAGAUCCUUCCUGAGAAGGCUGUGGUUUCUGAACAGUUGGGCUUCAUCCGUCUUUCUCCCUGGGUGUGGGUCCCCCAAAGGGGAAGUUUGCUCCAAAAUCUGCAAACACAGCUGCAUGAAUACAAAACUAAAAUGCCUUGGGGUACAGUGUCAUUGGCACCAUCUGGUUAAAAAUGACCAAAAGUGGUUUCUAAUUUUUACAGGUACGUGUGUUCUCAACAAAUCCCAGGAAAGCUUAAAGUCACACUAAUCUAUAGCUAAUUAUCCCACCUGGCAGCUGACUGCAUAGCCCUUCCUCCUACCUGGGUUUGAAACUCCUUCCGCCCUACCAACAGUUUGGCUGUGAGGGUUCAGUGGGGUGACUGGGUCACCCUGAGCCUUUGCCAGCCUAGGUCGCCAACAUUCCUCUAUUUAUAGGGUCUCUAUGGAAACAGGGCCAGCAUUAGAGAACUAAUCACUGUAAAAACCCACAGAGUUCUACUCUUAGGAUCCAAAGUGGAUUGAAGAAGUCUCCAAUUGCCCUUAAGAAGCUCUGGGUGGGGAGCCUGAGUGGGAGCAGGAGAGGAACCAUUACCCCAGAGAAUUCAGCCUGGAGCCAAAGCAAGUGGGAAAAGGUCACCUCAUCCACCAUGUCUUUAGGCAGAACUGAUUCAGCACACACCAACAUAGAAGACUUUUAUUAAAGUUCCCAGCAUGGCGUGCCCUCUCUCUGCCUCUUUGCAUCCUACCCAUCCUUCACCACCUCGCCACUCCAUAAAGCCCUCUCUGAUCACACCAGUCUGCAGCGAUCUCGCCCUGCUCUGAACACAUAAGCGCUCAUUAUCUGCACCACUCAUUUUGCAAUUAAUCGUGUACUGCCUUGUGACAUCGCUUCUAGUGCUUUGUCUGACUGUUAUCCAACUUCUCACCUGCUGACGGAUGGAACCCUUGAUGACAAUAUGAGUGACUGGACAGCAGGAGCUACAGCUCCUACAUCUCUGUGUCCCUAACAUUACCUGGCAGAGGCCUCAACACCAACAUGGAAGACAGCUAGUAACCGCCAAGAUUGAGUUGGCUUGGAAGGAGAUGAACACAGACCAAGGAGCCAGAAUGUAUACUUCAAUUCUACCUCCUCUGAUAAAACUUAUCCCAGGCGUCCGGCUCCCACCUGAGAUUGCAGGAAUCUUCAAGCCUUAACAUAUCUACUGGGCCUCAAGAUGCAGCAGGCCCUCAGAGAGCCAUCGCAACCAUCACAACACUCCUGGAGAGCCCCAGGGAACGUACAUAUCUUCAUUCCACCUACGUUCUUAUGAAGUAGCUUGUCUUCUCCUUCAUUUAAAAAAUGAAGAAACUCUCCACUCUCACUGCUUCAUUUGACUACCCUUUAAAAAAAAAAGGAGAAACUGAGACCUAUAAAUUUUAUCAAAACCCUGAGCCUUGAAAAAAUAUAUAUAUAAGAAAUAAACAAAUAGAAAACAAGCAGGUGCUUCUCGGGAAUGUCAGUUUUUUUUUUUCCUUGACUUGGGUAGAUGAGGUGUCUGCUUUGCUUCUGUUAUUUAAACUGCGUACAUGUUUUCAGGCACUUUUAUAAGCAUGUUUCACAAUUUAAUUCAGCAGCACCUUUCCUGCUGAAGGUGGUAUCUGCUGACUGCAUGAACCCUUCUCUAGUGGGCUCUCUGCAGGAGUGGUGAAGGAACACACGCCACUCACAGUGGGAGGAAGCUGCCUGUGACCACCAGGAAAGGCGGAGAGCCAGCAGGGAGAACCACACAGGACUCAGUUGUGACUUUCUCUCAGAUAUCUGGCUUCGAAUUAUCUUUCCUGCUCUUCACUAAGUAGGCAGGAAGACCAGUGUAUGGUGUGACUGGAACAUGAACUGGAACCCAAAUGAGUCUUGAGUCAAAAGUGCUUCAAACCAGGAGGGGAAUGAUGGAAUUUGGAGCUCCCCCUUUUUCUUCAGGGAAAUAUAUUAAUACUGCUCAGAAAUCUCCAGGGAAAUUACUUAAAGGGGCUUUUGUGAGAGGAAAGAGAACCUUAGGGGAAGUCCAGGGGGAAAGCCCAUGGCCAGCAUCCCCAGACACCUCCUUUCAGGAAAGACUCAAUUCUUCCCACUGUGAGAGAGGUGGGGAGGUUGGUAAUUUCCUCCCGUGCCUUCAGACUUCCAUCACAUAUCAGGAUAGAACCAGCUCACUCUUAUGCUUGGCCACUCAUCCUGGGCCUCAGAAGUAUCUACCACACGUUGUGGUUUUUUUUUUUUUUUUCGGUUGUUGUUUUUUG
rnacentral:lncRNA from 1 species